GUGCUCACUUUGGUAGCACAUAUACUAAAAUUGGAAAGAUACAGAGAAGAUUAGCAUGGCCCCUUCACAGGAUGACAUGCAAAUUUGUGAAGUUUUCCAUAUUUUU